CCCCACGUUGGGUGGCUUUUGUGGCAAUUUGGCAUAUUCUGUGGCCCUUUACUAGAUAUCCAUUAGAAACUGAAUUUUGAGUGCCGUUCCUAUCCACGUGAAAGAAGUUGACUUUCUAUGGAUUUCUACAUCUUUAUCGUAAAGGAGUGGACUGACCCACCAGAAAAUUGGUCAGGAUAAAAGAAUUCAAAGAAUGAGAUGAUGAUGAAGAUGUAGUGAAAGGAUGAGCCAGGAGUCAGAACCAGGAUUAGGACAAUGGGUACCAGGUAGUGGGUAAGAUAAGCUAAGGUCAGCAUCCAAGUCAAAGAAGGUAUGUUCCUUGAAGAGUACCUGUCAUGAUCUUGUUAAAUUUUAUAAUCCUCCCAGUUCACUGCCCCCAUCAUGAUAAACCACCCCCCGCCUUUAUUAGUAUUAUUUGUUAGUUUUCUACCUUGAUAUUGCUCUGUAUUUUCUGCUCAGUCAGAUUCACAGACUGGACAGGGGCGUUUCCCAGCAGGCCUGACAUCAUCUGAAGCCAUACAGGGGACAACUUCCUCCCUCACUCUGCUACACAUGGACCAGAGCAGAUGAGAAGACAUCACUGGAGCAGGGUGCGAUGAGUCUAGUGCAAUGACCGUCAGCGGGACCUGUGAGUGAAAGUGGGAGAGGAGAGUCAUUAAACAUCAGCUGUUCCACCUUGGCUUCCAGAUGUUCUACCUUCCACGUGACAACUUCAGAGAGGGCACCGCGCACAGAGAGCUUGGCAGAACGAUAUGUUGUCUUGUAGAUUAUAGGCAUGCAGUAACGUACACCUAUAAAUUUGUCUGUGUCAA